AUCGCUUCUCGGCCUUUGGGCUAAGAUCAAGUGUAGUAUCUGUUCUUACCAGUUUUAAUAUCUGAUACGGUUCUCUUUUUGAGAACAACAUAUUAAACAGAUUUUUUGGAGCAGGGAGUUGGAGUAGGAGCUUGCUCCAUCCACUUCACGCAUUGAUCUGGUAUUGCAGUACCUCCAGGACUGGUGCACUCCUC
rnacentral:snRNA from 1 species